rnacentral:tRNA from 1 species
GCGCGGGUGGUGGAAUUGGUAGACACGCUAGCUUGAGGGGCUAGUGGGAUUAAACCCGUGCGAGUUCAAGUCUCGCCUCGCGCACCA